rnacentral:rRNA from 1 species
AGGGUUUGAUCAUGGCUCAGGAUGAACGCUGGCGGCGUGCUUAACACAUGCAAGUCGAACGAACCUUCGGGUUAGUGGCGGACGGGUGAGUAACGCGUGAGAAUCUGCCCUCAGGAGGGGGAUAACGGUUGGAAACGACCGCUAAUACCCCAUAUGCCUAUUGGUGAAAUGAAUUUCGCCUGAGGAUGAGCUCGCGUCUGAUUAGCUAGUUGGUGAGGUAAUGGCUCACCAAGGCUUCGAUCAGUAGCUGGUCUGAGAGGAUGAUCAGCCACACUGGGACUGAGACACGGCCCAGACUCCUACGGGAGGCAGCAGUGGGGAAUUUUCCGCAAUGGGCGAAAGCCUGACGGAGCAACGCCGCGUGAGGGACGAAGGCCUCUGGGCUGUAAACCUCUUUUCUCAAGGAAGAAGAUAUGACGGUACUUGAGGAAUAAGCCACGGCUAAUUCCGUGCCAGCAGCCGCGGUAAUACGGGAGUGGCAAGCGUUAUCCGGAAUUAUUGGGCGUAAAGCGUCCGCAGGCGGCUUUUCAAGUCUGCUGUUAAAGCGUGGAGCUUAACUCCAUCAUGGCAGUGGAAACUGAAAGGCUUGAGUAUGGUAGGGGCAGAGGGAAUUCCCGGUGUAGCGGUGAAAUGCGUAGAUAUCGGGAAGAACACCAGUGGCGAAGGCGCUCUGCUGGGCCAUUACUGACGCUCAUGGACGAAAGCCAGGGGAGCGAAAGGGAUUAGAUACCCCUGUAGUCCUGGCCGUAAACGAUGAACA